rnacentral:lncRNA from 1 species
UACCGUAAUUCUGCAAUGUUCUACUUCUAGUGCACUGCCUCGUGCUGAAUGAUUAUUACUGAACUUAACUCAACGCCGCCACAAAUUGAUUGACCUGAAUGUAGCGGCCAGCCGGCUAUCCUUUUACUCUACAGUGAGCUCAGCUUAAUUAAUCUGUUAUGCAUGGAAUCCACCCUUCUUGAUAGCACAACUAACCGAAUCCAUAUUCAUAGCUCAAUUUUAUCAUCUUUUAUUAGAUUAUUUUAAUUGGUUCUACGCUAUUUGUCAGGCUAAUUAUGGCAGCAUUUUAACUAGGCAAUCAAGUUUACUAGAAAAUCAAAACUAGUUGUAUGCAACUUGCAACUUCAAAUUUAGAAUGCAGAUUUGUCAUGUGUCAUAUAUUCAUACCAUCUCGUUCAUCUUCUUGGAAAUGUUAGGUUAUAAAGGGGCUUGAUGAAGGGAUCUUGUCGAUGAAAGUUGGAGGAUUACGCCGGUUGUACAUACCUGGUCCGGUAAGCAGUCUCGCAUCAUCAAAUUUACAAAAGCAAUGCAACUGCUUUGCAAGACAACUUUUUACCAAUCUGACAUUGUUUCUCCUAUCUGGAUAUCUGGACACGACAGUGACGAUUUUCCAAAUUUUGUUGAUAUGAACAGUUAGCAUUCCCCAAGGGCCUUACAUCAGCUCCUGGAAGGCCAAGAGUGGCUCCGAGCAGCCCCGUCGUAUUUGAUGUCAACCUAUUGUACAUACCAGGUCUUGAUGAUGAGUGAAAAGGCAUUAACUUGCAAAAUUUACAGGAUAAAGUGGAGCGAAUGGUUUACUGUUUUUGAAUUACCACAUGUAUGUAGAG